rnacentral:lncRNA from 10 species
UUUUUUUUGAACAACAUUCCUGCAGAAUUCCCUGGAGUGAGACUCAGGACAAUAUUAAAUCCAAUGAAUCACGCAGCUUUCAGGAGGGCAGGGCAGCACGCUGCAGAGCAGCACUGAAUGAUGGCUUGGCCUGGCGUCCCUGGUGGCAGCAGUGGCCGCACCAGGCACCGUGUUCUCAUUCAACAAAGACUCAGGUUUGAUGUGAGGACUGUGAACAUCUCCAGAACAGGAGACAUUUGGAAGAGCUUGUGCCCACUGGUAUCUGAAACUUGGCUGCUCAUGCUUCAGAAACCCCUUGUAUCCUGCUAUGAUUCCU